GAGGGGGGGAGGAGUGUCGCCAGGGCCCUUGGCCGUAUGCGGUCGCUCGCCUAUGACGUCAACUGUUCGGAGCCUAUCCGGAUGGGCGUUGGUGACGAGGGCGCCUGCUUGAGAGCGGUGAGGCGGGCGGGGGUGACAGGCAGUGAGUAGGGCAGCUAAGCGGGGGCCUUCCACGGCGCGGUCCGCCCGGGGCGGCGGGUGCGUUUGAAAAGGAACGGGCGGGCCCCGGCCCUUCCCGGGGUGCCUUCGCCAUGGCCCUGCCCGCCCUCCACAGGUGCCUCCAACUCAGUGAUGAAAAUGAACAGUUAGUCAAGAAGCUGAAAAAACUACAUAUAAAAAAUAAGGAACUAGAAAAGAAUCUGAGUCAGAUCCAAGAAACACUACAUCUGCAGCAGUUAAUGCAUGACUAUGUCACAUAUAGAGAUGUUCAAGUUCAAACAGAAACCCAUUUGUUGCAUAAGGGUGGAUACAGCAAGGAUCUUAAUCUAGAGGGUGACAGUGUCAGACUACUUCAGAUGUAUAAUGAGCUACAGAAACGUUAUGUUAAAGAAAUCAAAACAAACCAGGAGCAAAGUGAAGAAAUUAAAAAUCUUACUAUUAAAAUUCAUGAGCUAGAGCAUAAUCUUCGAGAACAGAGGCAGAGAAUUGAGCAAUUGGAAUCUAAAAAGGUUUCCUGGAAAACUAGUGCUGCUUCUGGAAAAAGAAGUCGAGCCCCAGAGGGAGAAGUAACAUCUUGCAGGAACGUGUCUAAAAAGAAGGAAUCCUGUUGCAGUGAAUAUUUAGAGCUAUUGUUGAAGGAGAUUAAAAAGCUGAAGAAAGAAAAUGAAAAGUUGUCUACAGAAAAGAAAGCACUAAAAAAUGAAUUAGCCGGAUUAGAUAAGGAGUUUUUUGAAGAGGUGGAAGAUCUAAAGCGUGCUGUACAGGAAUCUGUGAAACUGAAUAAUCAGUAUGAAAAGUGCUUGAAACAAAUAAGUGUAAUGUAUGGACUUCCUUUUACAUCACAUUUGUAACUACUGAUUAAUUUAAAGGCAAGUAGGUUUUCUACAUAACUUUUUUUGGUACUUACUACAACAUUUAAACCUACCACGACUCUGUAGUACCACAUUUUGAUAAUAUUAUGGAUCUCAAUAUGACAAGCUGCUCUGAAAUGCUUUUGUAUUUUGUGCCUUUGAUUUUUUUUUUCUUUUUUUUAAAUAAACAGUGGUCUAUAUAACUUCA
rnacentral:lncRNA from 1 species